rnacentral:rRNA from 1 species
CGGCGAGUGAAGCGGUAACAGCUCAAAUUUGAAAUCUGGGUCUUUCAGGCUCCGAGUUGUAAUUUGUAGAAGAUGCUUUGGGUGCGGCCCCGGUCUAAGUUCCUUGGAACAGGACGUCAUAGAGGGUGAGAAUCCCGUAUGUGAUCGGUGGCCUGCGCCCGUGUAAAGCUCUUUCGACGAGUCGGGUUGUUUGGGAAUGCAGCUCUAAAUGGGUGGUAAAUUUCAUCUAAAGCUAAAUACUGGCCAGAGACCGAUAGCGCACAAGUAGAGUGAUCGAAAGAUGAAAAGGACUUUGGAAAGAGAGUUAAACAGUACGUGAAAUUGUUGAAAGGGAAGCGCUUGCAACCAGACUUGCGCGGGGUUGAUCAUCCGGGGUUCUCCCCGGUGCACUCGGCCUCGCUCAGGCCAGCAUCGGUUUCGGUGGUUGGAUAAAGGCCUUGGGAAUGUGGCUCCUCUCGGGGAGUGUUAUAGCCCUCGGUGCAAUGCAGCCUACUGGGACCGAGGACCGCGCUUCGGCUAGGAUGCUGGCGUAAUGGUUGUAAGCGACCCGUCUUGAAACACGGACCAAGGAGUCUAACAUCUAUGCGAGUGUUUGGGUGUCAAACCCAUACGCGUAAUGAAAGUGAACGGAGGUGAGAACCCUUAAGGGUGCAUCAUCGACCGAUCCUGAUGUCUUCGGAUGGAUUUGAGUAGGAGCAUAGCUGUUGGGACCCGAAAGAUGGUGAACUAUGCCUGAAUAGGGUGAAGCCAGAGGAAACUCUGGUGGAGGCUCGCAGCGGUUCUGACGUGCAAAUCGAUCGUCAAAUUUGGGUAUAGGGGCGA